CCUUUGACGUUAGCGGCGGACGGGUGAGUAACACGUGGGUAACCUACCUAUAAGACUGGGAUAACUUCGGGAAACCGGAGCUAAUACCGGAUAAUAUUUCGAACCGCAUGGUUCGAUAGUGAAAGGUGGUUUUGCUAUCACUUAUAGAUGGACCCGCGCCGUAUUAGCUAGUUGGUAAGGUAACGGCUUACCAAGGCGACGAUACGUAGCCGACCUGAGAGGGUGAUCGGCCACACUGGAACUGAGACACGGUCCAGACUCCUACGGGAGGCAGCAGCG
rnacentral:rRNA from 1 species